rnacentral:rRNA from 1 species
AGAGUUUGAUCCUGGCUCAGAACGAACGCUGGCGGCAGGCUUAACACAUGCAAGUCGAGCGCCCAGCAAUGGGAGCGGCGGACGGGUGAAUAACGCGUGGGAAUAUGCCCUUUGGUACGGAACAACUCAGGGAAACUUGAGCUAAUACCGUAUGAGCCGGUAACGGGAAAGAUUUAUCGCCAAAGGAUUAGCCCGCGUCCGAUUAGCUAGUUGGUGAGGUAACGGCCCACCAAGGCACCGAUCGGUAGCUGGUCUGAGAGGACGACCAGCCACACUGGGACUGAGACACGGCCCAGACUCCUACGGGAGGCAGCAGUGGGGAAUCUUGGACAAUGGGGGAAACCCUGAUCCAGCCAUGCCGCGUGAGUGAUGAAGGCCUUCGGGUUGUAAAACUCUUUCGACGGGGACGAUAAUGACGGUACCCGUAGAAGAAGCUCCGGCUAACUUCGUGCCAGCAGCCGCGGUAAUACGAAGGGGGCUAGCGUUGUUCGGAAUUACUGGGCGUAAAGCGCGCGCAGGCGGCCUUUCAAGUCAGGGGUGAAAGCCCAGAGCUCAACUCUGGAACUGCCCUUGAAACUGUUAGGCUUGAGUACGGGAGAGGUGAGUGGAAUUCCCAGUGUAGAGGUGAAAUUCGUAGAUAUUGGGAAGAACACCGGUGGCGAAGGCGGCUCACUGGCCCGUAACUGACGCUCAGGCGCGACAGCGUGGGGAUCAAACAGGAUUAGAUACCCCUGUAGUCC